rnacentral:rRNA from 1 species
GAUGAACGCUGGCGGCGUGCCUAAUACAUGCAAGUCGAGCGAACAGACGAGGAGCUUGCUCCUCUGACGUUAGCGGCGGACGGGUGAGUAACACGUGGAUAACCUACCUAUAAGACUGGGAUAACUUCGGGAAACCGGAGCUAAUACCGGAUAAUAUAUUGAACCGCAUGGUUCAAUAGUGAAAGACGGUUUUGCUGUCACUUAUAGAUGGAUCCGCGCCGCAUUAGCUAGUUGGUAAGGUAACGGCUUACCAAGGCAACGAUGCGUAGCCGACCUGAGAGGGUGAUCGGCCACACUGGAACUGAGACACGGUCCAGACUCCUACGGGAGGCAGCAGUAGGGAAUCUGCCGCAAUGGGCGAAAGCCUGACGGAGCAACGCCGCGUGAGUGAUGAAGGUCUUCGGAUCGUAAAACUCUGUUAUUAGGGAAGAACAAAUGUGUAAGUAACUAUGCACUGCUUGACGGUACCUAAUCAGAAAGCCACGGCUAACUACGUG